rnacentral:tRNA from 1 species
AAAACUUUAAGUUAUUAUUAAACUAAUAAUCUUCAAAAUUAUAAAAAAUUCUAUAUUAAGUUUUA